rnacentral:rRNA from 1 species
CUGAACAUUGAGCCUUGAUGUGUAGGAUAGGUGGGAGGCUUUGAAGUGUGGACGCCAGUCUGCAUGGAGCCGACCUUGAAAUACCACCCUUUAAUGUUUGAUGUUCUAACGUGGACCCGUUACCCGGGUUGCGGACAGUGUCUGGUGGGUAGUUUGACUGGGGCGGUCUCCUCCUAAAGAGUAACGGAGGAGCACGAAGGUUGGCUAAUCCUGGUCGGACAUCAGGAGGUUAGUGCAAUGGCAUAAGCCAGCUUGACUGCGAGCGUGACGGCGCGAGCAGGUGCGAAAGCAGGUCAUAGUGAUCCGGUGGUUCUGAAUGGAAGGGCCAUCGCUCAACGGAUAAAAGGUACUCCGGGGAUAACAGGCUGAUACCGCCCAAGAGUUCAUAUCGACGGCGGUGUUUGGCACCUCGAUGUCGGCUCAUCACAUCCUGGGGCUGAAGUAGGUCCCAAGGGUAUGGCUGUUCGCCAUUUAAAGUGGUACGCGAGCUGGGUUUAGAACGUCGUGAGACAGUUCGGUCCCUAUCUGCCGUGGGCGCUGGAGAACUGAGGGGGGCUGCUCCUAGUACGAGAGGACCGGAGUGGACGCAUCACUGGUGUUCGGGUUGUCAUGCCAAUGGCACUGCCCGGUAGCUAAAUGCGGAAGAGAUAAGUGCUGAAAGCAUCUAAGCACGAAACUUGCCCCGA